GUCGAGAAUCUUUCGCAAUGCCCGGAAGGGUGACGAAGCGACGCCGCGUGUGGGAAGAAGGCCUUCGGGUUGUAAACCACUGUCGGGAGUUAAGAAGUGUAAGGGGGUGAAUAGCCCUCUUACUUGACGUUAGCUCCGGAGGAAGCCACGGCUAACUCUGUGCCAGCAGCCGCGGUAAUACAGAGGUGGCAAGCGUUGUUCGGAAUUAUUGGGCGUAAAGAGCACGUAGGCGGCCCUACAAGUCAGCUGUGAAAUCCUUCUGCUCAACGGAAGAACGGCAGUUGAUACUAUAGGGCUGGAGUGCGGGAGGGGAGAGUGGAACUUCUGGUGGAGCGGUGAAAUGCGUAGAUAUCAGAAGGAACAUCGGCGGCGAAAGCGACUCUCUGGCCCGUAACUGACGCUGAGGUGCGAAAGCUAGGGGAGCAAACGGGAUUAGAAACCCUAGUAGUCC
rnacentral:rRNA from 1 species